rnacentral:lncRNA from 1 species
UUGGUGAUGGGUCGAAAAUGGAUGGGUGUUUUGAAGUGUGGGCGACAUCGUUUAAGGUUCAAUGGUGAUUUGGUGAAAUGGUUAUUUUGUUUGUGUUGGUGUGGUGGUGGUUUUAUGAUUUUUCUCCCAAAAAAACCAAUAGUCUCUUGUUGAAUUCUUCUGUUAUAUAGAGAUGAUGUGGAAUGAGGAAAGAUAAAAAAGAUGCUCAAAAUUGUUUUGUU